AUACCGCAUAACGUCGCAAGACCAAAGAGGGGGACCUUCGGGCCUCUUGCCAUCGGAUGUGCCCAGAUGGGAUUAGCUUGUUGGUGGGGUAACGGCUCACCAAGGCGACGAUCCCUAGCUGGUCUGAGAGGAUGACCAGCCACACUGGAACUGAGACACGGUCCAGACUCCUACGGGAGGCAGCAGUGGGGAAUAUUGCACAAUGGGCGCAAGCCUGAUGCAGCCAUGCCGCGUGUAUGAAGAAGGCCUUCGGGUUGUAAAGUACUUUCAGCGGGGAGGAAGGGAGUAAAGUUAAUACCUUUGCUCAUUGACGUUACCCGCAGAAGAAGCACCGGCUAACUCCGUGCCAGCAGCCGCGGUAAUACGGAGGGUGCAAGCGUUAAUCGGAAUUACUGGGCGUAAAGCGCACGCAGGCGGUUUGUUAAGUCAGAUGUGAAAUCCCCGGGCUCAACCUGGGAACUGCAUCUGAUACUGGCAAGCUUGAGUCUCGUAGAGGGGGGUAGAAUUCCAGGUGUAGCGGUGAAAUGCGUAGAGAUCUGGAGGAAUACCGGUGGCGAAGGCGGCCCCCUGGACGAAGACUGACGCUCAGGUGCGAAAGCGUGGGGAGCAAACAGGAUUAGAUACCCUGGUAGUCCACGCCGUAAACGAUGUCGACUUGGAGGUUGUGCCCUUGAGGCGUGGCUUCCGGAGCUAACGCGUUAAGUCGACCGCCUGGGGAGUACGGCCGCAAGGUUAAAACUCAAAUGAAUUGACGGGGGCCCGCACAAGCGGUGGAGCAUGUGGUUUAAUUCGAUGCAACGCGAAGAACCUUACCUGGUCUUGACAUCCACGGAAGUUUUCAGAGAUGAGAAUGUGCCUUCGGGAACCGUGAGACAGGUGCUGCAUGGCUGUCGUCAGCUCGUGUUGUGAAAUGUUGGGUUAAGUCCCGCAACGAGCGCAACCCUUAUCCUUUGUUGCCAGCGGUCCGGCCGGGAACUCAAAGGAGACUGCCAGUGAUAAACUGGAGGAAGGUGGGGAUGACGUCAAGUCAUCAUGGCCCUUACGACCAGGGCUACACACGUGCUACAAUGGCGCAUACAAAGAGAAGCGACCUCGCGAGAGCAAGCGGACCUCAUAAAGUGCGUCGUAGUCCGGAUUGGAGUCUGCAACUCGACUCCAUGAAGUCGGAAUCGCUAGUAAUCGUGGAUCAGAAUGCCACGGUGAAUACGUUCCCGGGCCUUGUACACACCGCCCGUCACACCAUGGGAGUGGGUUGCAAAAGAAGUAGGUAGCUUAACCUUCGGGAGGGCGCUUACCACUUUGUGAUUCAUGACUGGGGUGAAGUCGUAACAAGGUAACCGUAGGGGAACCUGCGGUUGGAUCACCUCCUUACCUUAAAGAAGC
rnacentral:rRNA from 1 species